UGGAUGCACACACGCUAGGACGAGAUGAAAAUGUACCGACGAAGAUUGCCGCCGUGAGAACUCAAUAAUCCUAACGAAUUUUCGAAUCGGUCACUCAGCAUUUCUCGAGAAUUGGCGGGAGCAAAAUGAGGGGGUUGGAGGGCACAGGGAAAAUCCAUGGAAAAGAAGAAGAGCAACGUAUGAUUUCAUCAAUGGAGAGUUUCGUAUACACGCUAUUAUCAGUUGUUAGGAAAAGGAUCGAGGAAAUACGAAGGAAUAAAAGGUAGUAACGAAGAGAAGCGUGAUAGUGGACUUCUGAAAUAUGCAUCGCGAGUCGUCGGGAUGGAACGAAAAAUACGGUGAAAAUGAAGCCGAGAGAGAGAGAGAGAGAGAGGAGUGAGCGAGAAUCGAAGGGGUUGCAACGCCCUCCGAUUCCUCGAACAAUUCUUCUGUUUGUCUCUCAGUUUCACUCUGUGCUGCUGGUGCUGCUGCAGUAGCAAAUAUCCCUUCUCAGGGCAUAGUUGAGAGCUUUCAACAAGAGAAUCAACGAUAUUUAAUUACCAAUUUUCGUCGAGGUAACAUCGACGCUGCAAAGUUUCUCUCUUGCCUGCCGACCGGAGAAUAAGGACCGGGAUGCUAAUCUGCUGGAUCAUAAAUCUUCUGUCCAGCUACGAAAAAGCGAGAGGAGGAUACGAAUAAUAUGAACACAGAUAUAUGUUAACGCUGGAGAAAAGAGUGAGAAAGAUAGCCAACUCCUAAGAGAGCUUCAAAGCCUCUCGAGUUCGAGACAAUCACCGAGUGCGAAGCGAGGUUAAGAACUCGACCUGCCUAUCUGCCUCUCUCCUUCAUCCUCCCUUUCUUAUUUCUUCACUCCUCUUAAUAAGCUUCCUUCUCCCUUUUUUAUUCACCGAUGAAUUCGUUUUUUUUUCAGCACUCCUUGUUGCUCUCGUCGCUUCCUGUCUGGCAGCCGUCUGGUAGCCUCUGCUGGUAGCAGCUCGAACAUUCUUUAUGAAGACGAACGAUUUAUAAUGUACCAGAAUUUAACACGCUUUUAACUUUUUAUUGUUUUAUAUUGGACGGCCGUUUAGAGUCUUUGUGAACGUUAAAAGAGGAUUGACAGGGCGACAAGCACAGUGGGCGACGGUUUCGUAUUUUUUUAUAUUUUCAUCGCAUAUAGCUGUGCAACGAUUUAUGUUUUUUCAAAUUGAACAAGUUUUCAAUAUUUUUUGCAUUCAAGAAUAUUGCAUUUGGAAAUUCCUCAAUGAAAUACUACGUUGUUACGUUG